UAUGUCGAAGCCAAAUGAAGAAAAAGCGAACUAUGCACGAAUUAAUAGACUUCUACAAAAAGCUGCAACUCCAGCAGUUAGACAUGAGUUUGAUCAACAAUUUCACCCCAGUGUAUUAAAAUCAACCCUGAACAAAAGUCGCAUUAGAUUAGAACAAUUGAGAAAGCAAAGAGUCAUCAACCAGUAUCAGUGGACUUUGUUAUUUCCUAGGAAUGGUAAGAUAUGC
rnacentral:lncRNA from 1 species